AUUGAACACUGGCGGCAGGCCUAACACAUGCAAGUCGAGCGGAUGAAGGGAGCUUGCUCCUGGAUUCAGCGGCGGACGGGGGAGUAAUGCCUAGGAAUCUGCCUGGUAGUGGGGGAUAACGUCCGGAAACGGGCGCUAAUACCGCAUACGUCCUGAGGGAGAAAGUGGGAGAUCUUCGGACCUCACGCUCUCAGAUGAGCCUAGGUCGGAUUAGCUAGUUGGUGGGGUAAAGGCCUACCAAGGCGACGAUCCGUAACUGGUCUGAGAGGAUGAUCAGUCACACUGGAACUGAGACACGGUCCAGACUCCUACGGGAGGCAGCAGUGGGGAAUAGUGGACAAUGGGCGAAAGCCUGAUCCAGCCAUGCCGCGUGUGUGAAGAAGGUCUUCGGAUUGUAAAGCACGUUAAGUUGGGAGGAAGGGCAGUAAGUUAAUACCUUGCUGUUUUGACGUUACCAACAGAAUAAGCACCGGCUAACUUCGUG
rnacentral:rRNA from 1 species